GCCGAGAUAGUCUAGUCCGGCAGGGCGGUGGAUUCGAAAUCCACUGGCGGCAACGCCUCGGGAGUUCAAAUCUCUCUCUCGGCG
rnacentral:tRNA from 1 species